CCACCCCCCCAGCCUCUGGCCCAGCGGGGAGCGUCCCCGGGGGCCGGCGGGGAGAUUCCGCACGCCCCGCAGAACCGGCUCCCUGGAGAAGGGAGGAGGAGGACUCCAGGGCACUUUGGAAUUGAACCAGUUUCCCAAGACACUAUUAAAAGUACGGUGAUGCAGGAGGAGCUACCUACUGGAUGAUAUGUGAAACAAGCUGCUUGAGGGCCUUAUCUGGGACUAAAACUGCAAUGUCCUGCUGUAUUCCUCACAUUAUUCUGAGAAAACAGAACCAACAAAUACAACUACACAUUGGCUGAAAUAAGUUCUUGGCAUGUUUUAUUUCUAUUGCAAAUUCUUUGUACAGGAUCUGCAAAUUGUAAGCUUAACAACAGAAGUCUUGCAGUGGCUUUCAGAUGGUGUCUACAUUUUAAGAGGGGUGAGUGCACCACCUAGAGGAGAUAAUGAUACUUUUUUGCUGACUAUUACAAAA